rnacentral:rRNA from 1 species
CARAAGUACAACCCUGAACGGUGGAUCACUCGGCUCGUGGGUCGAUGAAGAACGCAGCAAAUUGCGCGUCGACAUGUGAACUGCAGGACACAUGAACAUCGACAUUUCGAACGCACAUUGCGGUCCAUGGAUUCCGUUCCCGGACCACGCCUGGCUGAGGGUCGGUAGCUAAAA